ensembl:lncRNA
AUACUAUAGAAGGCAGCUCGCGAGCGUAUCUAGUCUGCUAUAUACAUCUGUGGUCGGCACGUGUGGUUGCAUCUCUGGCUGCUGUUGAUCUUGUUUUUGGAGUAAAACACGAUGCACAAUGAGGGACGUCUGCAGAGACUGAGAAAGAGUCUCACCACAUCCUGACAUGAGGAAAAAGACUUGAUUGAAGACUACAAUGAGAAAAACUAUCAGACAGCAGACGGCUGCAUUCAAGGUGAGCUCUGAACAUUUGAUCUGGAACAGGAAUUCAAUAACGGCAGCAUGAGCUUCAUUUCAGUCUGUAGCUGCUGAAUUCAUGGAUGAAUCAUCUGGCAGUAGAGAGGAAGACCAUCAAACAUUCACGUCAGCUGAUGGAGGUCCAAGAGUCUCACCCAACAAACAACCUACAGAGUGAAGACCUUGAAUCUGAUUGGACGGCCUCCUAUUCAGCCACAUGUGAACAAAUGCCUCUAAGUUGGUUUGUUUUCUAAAAUAACAUGACAUGUUCAGGCGUUCUUUGUGUGAAAACUCAGAGAUUUCAGG